CUUAACACAUGCAAGUCGAGCGGUAGCACAGGGGAGCUUGCUCCCUGGGUGACGAGCGGCGGACGGGUGAGUAAUGUCUGGGAAACUGCCUGAUGGAGGGGGAUAACUACUGGAAACGGUAGCUAAUACCGCAUAACGUCGCAAGACCAAAGAGGGGGACCUUCGGGCCUCUUGCCAUCAGAUGUGCCCAGAUGGUAUUAGCUAGUAGGUGGGGUAAUGGCUCACCUAGGCGACGAUCCCUAGCUGGUCUGAGAGGAUGACCAGCCACACUGGAACUGAGACACGGUCCAGACUCCUACGGGAGGCAGCAGUGGGGAAUAUUGCACAAUGGGCGCAAGCCUGAUGCAGCCAUGCCGCGUGUGUGAAGAAGGCCUUCGGGUUGUAAAGCACUUUCAGCGAGGAGGAAGGUGGUGGACUUAAUACGUUCAUCAAUUGACGUUACUCGCAGAAGAAGCACCGGCUAACUCCGUGCCAGCAGCCGCGGUAAUACGGAGGGUGCAAGCGUUAAUCGGAAUUACUGGGCGUAAAGCGCACGCAGGCGGUUUGUUAAGUCAGAUGUGAAAUCCCCGGGCUCAACCUGGGAACUGCAUUUGAAACUGGCAAGCUAGAGUCUCGUAGAGGGGGGUAGAAUUCCAGGUGUAGCGGUGAAAUGCGUAGAGAUCUGGAGGAAUACCGGUGGCGAAGGCGGCCCCCUGGACGAAGACUG
rnacentral:rRNA from 1 species